rnacentral:lncRNA from 12 species
UAAGUUAAAUAAUAUUACUAAUAAGAUCUAAUGUGAAUUGUUUUCUAUCAUUCAGGCAUGGUUAAACCCUAGUUCUCUCAGGUAUUGCCUUCUCUGUGGGGAGAUUCAAUGAUGUGGUUACUGUAGACACAAGAAAGAAUGUUCUUUAGUUAAUCCAAGUCCUCUUUUCUCUUGUUUUGAUGUCAAGUGCAAGAUACACAAAUUCAAGUUGAUGAUAGUUCCCAGUGGAUGAAAGCAAUGGCUCUAGUCUGAGUUGUGGCAGUCCUUGAAUCCUGUGAGUAUCAGCAGGGUUCCUGGUGUGUGCUGAUGUAAUCCCUAGGUCACAGAACACUGAUGCUGGCUUGCAUCAUAAUAGCCCUGUUGGUAUGUUGAGCACUGGUCAGGACAGUGAUUUAGUGAGGAAGUAGUUUCUCUACUGAUUUGUUGUUCGUGAGUGUACAAGUGAACUAGUUUGAUUCUUCGUUAUACUGAUUGGAGUGACUCUCUGAAGAGGAGGUGAAUUUGAAGAGGUGAUUUGUUGUUCGUGAGUGUACAAGUGAACUAGUUUGAUUCUUCGUUAUACUGAUUGGAGUCACUCUCUGAAGAGGAGGUGAAUUUGAAGAGGUGAUUUGUUGUUCGUGAGUGUACAAGUGAACUAGUUUGAUUCUUCGUUAUACUGAUUGGAGUCACUCUCUGAAGAGGUGAACCAUGAAGCAGAAACGAAAAAGGAAGCAUCUAGAAAGGACAAGUUCCCCCCAAACUGUCAAGAGGUCAAAAGACAAUACUCUGGUCCCUGAGGCAAAAGGUGAAUCCUCUGAAUCAGAAUACUUCUCCUGCUAUUCCUCCUUGAGUCAUCUGUCUUCUGCAGGAAUCUCAAAAUCAAGCAAAUUUGAUCCACCAACUGGACCCUCUUUGGAAGACAAUACUCUGAUAUGUGAGGCUAAAGGUGAAUCCUUUGAAUCAAAAUACUUCGGCUAUUCCUUCUUGAGUCGUCUGUUUUCUGCAGGAAUCUCAAAAUCAAGCAAAUUUGAUCCACCAACUGGACCCUCUUUGGAAGACAAUACUCUGGUCCAUGAGGCUAAAGGUGAAUCAUCUGAAUCAAAAUACUUCUGCUAUUCCUCCUUGAGUCAUCUAUUUUCUGCAGGAAUCUCAAAAUCAAGCAAAUUUGAUCCACCACCUGGCCACUCUUUGGAAGACAAUACUCUGGUCCCUGUGGCAAAAGGUGAAUCCUCUGAAUCAGAAUACUUCUCCUGCUAUUCCUCCUUGAGUCAUCUGUCUUCUGCAGGUAAGGGGCAAGGAAAGGCAUGCAAAGUCAAGAAGAUUAGGGCAGUGGGAGCCUGAACAGACUGGUAGACACCCAGCUAAGCAUCUCUCAGCUAGUGGGAGAAAGGUACACAUCAGACCCAGUUAUAAUCUUAUCCUCA